rnacentral:piRNA from 1 species
AUGGUUUUCAGAGGGCAUUCAAUCUAAAG